GGCUGUACUCACCAUGGCGGCGGCGGCGGGGAGGAGCCCCGAGCCGAGCCCGGCGGGAGCCACCAGAAGCAGGCUUGCACCUGACCCGCCAUGACGUCACCCACGGAAUUCACAAGCCCGACCCCCCCUCUGCCCGGUGACGACGGCUACGACCCCACGCUGUCGGCGGACGACUACGCGGGCCUGGACCUGGCGGACGUCUUCUGCGAC